rnacentral:rRNA from 1 species
UACAGAGGUCUCAAGCGUUGUUCGGAUUCAUUGGGCGUAAAGAGCUCGUAGGCGGCCUGUCGCGUCGGAUGUGAAAGCCCGGGGCUUAACCCCGGGUCUGCAUUCGAUACGGGCAGGCUAGAGUGUGGUAGGGGAGAUCGGAAUUCCUGGUGUAGCGGUGAAAUGCGCAGAUAUCGGGAGGAACACCAGUGGCGAAGGCGACUUCCUGGCCUGUUCUUGACGCUGAGGCGCGAAAGCUAGGGGAGCAAACAGG